UGGGGAAUAUUGGACAAUGGGCGAAAGCCUGAUCCAGCCAUGCCGCGUGUGUGAAGAAGGCCUUUUGGUUGUAAAGCACUUUAAGCGAGGAGGAGGCUACUUGGAUUAAUACUCUAGGAUAGUGGACGUUUCUCGCAGAAUAAGCACCGGCUAACUCUGUGCCAGCAGCCGCGGUAAUACAGAGGGUGCGAGCGUUAAUCGGAUUUACUGGGCGUAAAGCGUGCGUAGGCGGCUUCUUAAGUCGGAUGUGAAAUCCCUGAGCUUAACUUAGGAAUUGCAUUCGAUACUGGGAAGCUAGAGUAUGGGAGAGGAUGGUAGAAUUCCAGGUGUAGCGGUGAAAUGCGUAGAGAUCUGGAGGAAUACCGAUGGCGAAGGCAGCCAUCUGGCCUAAUACUGACGCUGAGGUACGAAAGCAUGGGGAGCAAACAGG
rnacentral:rRNA from 1 species